rnacentral:rRNA from 1 species
UACAUAGGGGGCAAGCGUUGUCCGGAAUGACUGGGCGUAAAGGGUGUGUAGGCGGUUUCGCAAGUUGGAAGUGUAAUACCUAGAGCUUAACUCAGGUGCUGCUUCCAAAACUGCGGGACUUGAGUGUCGGAGAGGAAAAUGGAAUUCCUAGUGUAGCGGUGGAAUGCGUAGAUAUUAGGAGGAACACCAGAGGCGAAAGCGAUUUUCUGGACGACAACUGACGCUGAGGCACGAAAGCGUGGGGAGCAAACAGGAUUAGAUACCCUGGUAGUCCACGCUGUAAACGAUGGAUACUAGGUGUAGGGGGUAUCGACUCCCCCUGUACCGUAGCUAACGCAAUAAGUAUCCCGCCUGGGGAGUACGGCCGCAAGGUUGAA